AUGCACGCUGGCGGCGUGCCUCAUACAUGCAAGUCGAGCGAACAGACGAGGAGCUUGCUCCUCUGACGUUAGCGGCGGACGGGUGAGUAACACGUGGAUAACCUACCUAUAAGACUGGGAUAACUUCGGGAAACCGGAGCUAAUACCGGAUAAUAUAUUGAACCGCAUGGUUCAAUAGUGAAAGACGGUUUUGCUGUCACUUAUAGAUGGAUCCGCGCCGCAUUAGCUAGUUGGUAAGGUAACGGCUUACCAAGGCAACGAUGCGUAGCCGACCUGAGAGGGUGAUCGGCCGCACUGGAACUGAGACACGGUCCAGACUCCUACGGGAGGCAGCAGUAGGGAAUCUUCCGCAAUGGGCGAAAGCCUGACGGAGCAACGCCGCGUGAGUGAUGAAGGUCUUCGGAUCGUAAAACUCUGUUAUUAGGGAAGAACAAAUGUGUAAGUAACUAUGCACGUCUUGACGGUACCUAAUCAGAAAGCCACGGCUAACUACGUG
rnacentral:rRNA from 1 species